AGCUUUUCUCCUGUCGGCAAGUGCCAUGUCACAUUGCUUAAUUAACAACGAUUCAGUUGUCCCUUAAUUGCGUUGCAGGCCCCACAGCCUUAUUUUAUCUCUGUGCCCAUUUGUUUGGCUAUAAAAGUAGACUCCCCUAGCUCAUCCCUUCUUCACACAAACACAGCACAGCUCUGUGUUUCUGUCCCCUUCUUCUAGGGUUAGAUGUGAUGAGAGGUCAAGAGAUGCUGUCUGGUGGCAGUACGAAGAUCUGAUCUAUAUGUCCAGGUUUUCCAUUUGGAGGCAGUAAACUGGAGGCAGCAACUGCAUAACUUGCGAGAUGCUCGUAAGAUUUCUUAACUGUCCAUUAAAACUAGAACAUGUUCAGUUAUCAUCACCGGAGCUUUCUGGAGAUUAAUUAGUACCAUAGGUUUUCAUAUGUUCUUUGGAUUGGGCUAGCGAGUAUGAGAAGAUCCCGGAGAGGGAGACGGAAAAACUAUUAACAGGACGGGCGCAAAUAAAACCGAACUAUUCUUGGGACCGUAUUUUCACGUUGAUAUCUAAUUUUUACUCAUUAUCACUGUCAUUUGCCACUUCUGAUUUCGAAAUCUGGAGCAUCAAUAUUUCCCCUCCCGGCAUUGCAAUUUCAGCUAAUUACUGCCCUAGAUAUCCCUUUGAAAUGUCGGAUGGUGUCCACAUCAUCAGUCUAAGGUAGCAACUGGCCCACCUACCAGAGAUAAAUCAUGAUAAUUUAGUUUAGUUCGUGUAAAAAAAGUUGGGUCAAAAAAUAUAUUUAGUCUAUUCCUCUUUCAAGGAGGUAAUAACAUAAACUUUGUGGCUUCAGUGUGCCACACUAGACACAAUGUAUGGUCUAAUUUAUGCUUGAAAACUAAUUAUAUCAUUAAUAUGAUGCAGUUCAAAGGUAAUAUUCAAAAGUAUGUAUGUUGGUCGUUCUUCCAAUUAUCAUGUAACCUAUUUAUUGGGUUGGUAGGUUGGAUGAUGAUCAUGCCGAUGAGUUUACCGCAAGUUAUGCAGUUGCUGCCUCAAGCUUGCUGCAUCCCAAUGUCAAACCAGUGAGACUUAAGAUGAAGAAGUCAUUCGAAUACGAAAUCAAAGAGAAAAACAACCAUGCAAGAAGCCUCUGUAAUCUGCACAACCGAUCAUAUUAUUACUGCAAGCUAGCAAAGCUUUUUUAUGUACAAUUUAACUUUAUUUUCCCUAGCUCCGUGCUAUCUAUGAGCUAAAGGCACCUACAAGGCAGCAAUGCAAGUGUAAUCUUGAAAAUGACAGUCAAAAUGUUUGCAUGCAUGUAUGUUAUCUUUCAAUUUAUACGAGUACGUAACUUUUCUUUCAA